rnacentral:lncRNA from 1 species
CCGAGUUUUACAUGUCUUAUUCCACUGAUAAAGAAGUUCGGCCACGAGACAUGAAUGAUAAACAGACACUAAAAAGAUGAUUAUCGUAGCAUGGUGAGAAGUCAUUUGAAGUUUUAAUGGCGUAAACACACGUCGGUAUCGGUCGCUUGAUAGUCCCAUUAAAAUGAAGAUCGACGACAGUGCAAAAAGGUUGUUACAGGCGCGAAAAAAUUUACAUGCCCACAUGUUGUAAAACGUAUAUUGAAAUCGCAUCUCUGUUAUCUCAAAAGGCAGAGUUACAGCACAGACAAAUAAAUCUGAAAGUGCCAGACCAAUGAUAAAUGUACGGUGAGUACUCUUCUGAAAUCUGAUGGGAUAAACAAUCAGAACCAAAACAUUGCCUGGUAUUCCAAUUAACAUUAGAAGUACAAGAUAGAUCAUUGGUGCCAGUCUUCGUAAAGCUUCUUCAUCAUUGUAAUCCUGUAAAGUUUUGUUUAAGUCGAGAUCUGUUAUGUUGGUUAAAUUAUAGUCAGUGAUUGUUGUUGAAUUAUCCAUGAUUUGUGAUUACAACUGUACUGUAUAUUAUACACAUAAAAUAAGAUGUCCAAACUGUCACUAAGAAAUUUUUUUCUUGGAUAUUUCUUUCUUUUAAGACUACGUUAUAACGUCAAUAAAUGUAAACAUUUAUGAAUGGACAUACACAAGACUAAGUUAAUAGUAUCCAUUUAUGGCGCAUUGUCAAACUUAUAAGCGGAUGACAACAAUUAAAACAAUCCCAAGUGGAAGGAUGAUAGUUAGAAUUAGUAAAUUUUCCGAUGAGGAAGUCACUUGUUAUAUGUACGCAUUUGCCAUAGUUUGAUUAUAUAAUGAAGGAA